rnacentral:rRNA from 1 species
AAUCCAGACUCCUACGGGAGGCAGCAGUGGGGGAUAUUGCACAAUGGGGGGAACCCUGAUGCAGCGACGCCGCGUGGGUGAAGAAGCGCCUCGGCGCGUAAAGCCCUAUCGGCAGGGAAGAAGGAGGACGGUACCUGACUAAGAAGCCCCGGCUAACUACGUGCCAGCAGCCGCGGUAAUACGUAGGGGGCAAGCGUUAUCCGGAUUUACUGGGUGUAAAGGGGGCGCAGACGGCAGCGCAAGCCAGGAGUGGAAGCCCGGGGCCCAACCCCGGGACUGCUCUUGGAACUGCGCGGCUGGAGUGCAGGAGGGGCAGGCGGAAUUCCUGGUGUAGCGGUGAAAUGCGUAGAUAUCAGGAGGAACACCGGUGGCGAAGGCGGCCUGCUGGACGGCGACUGACGUUGAGGCCCGAAAGCGUGGGGAGCAAACAGGAUUAGAUACCCCGGUAUUA